rnacentral:rRNA from 1 species
UACAGAGGGUGCAAGCGUUGUUCGGAAUUACUGGGCGUAAAGAGCUCGUAGGUGGUUUGUCGCGUUGUUCGUGAAAACUCACAGCUCAACUGUGGGCGUGCGGGCGAUACGGGCAGACUAGAGUACUGCAGGGGAGACUGGAAUUCCUGGUGUAGCGGUGGAAUGCGCAGAUAUCAGGAGGAACACCGGUGGCGAAGGCGGGUCUCUGGGCAGUAACUGACGCUGAGGAGCGAAAGCGUGGGGAGCGAACAGG